AAAAUGUACUGCAUAUAUUAUCUUUUAUGUAUCAAUUUCAUUCAAUACUGAAUACAUACAGAGUAUCAAACAGUAGAUUCUGAAAUGCUCAAUUAAAAACACCAUCAGAAAAAAUAAUUAACAUUGAAGUUGGGAAUUGAAGUCACACUAAACCCAAAAUCUGACCUGCACAUAGCAACAACAGGUUGCAGACUUAUUGCUCCAAUGCACUAAGCUCUUGUAUACUGUUUAAAGUAAUGCAGUGUAAGCUCAGACUUGGAAUCAUUGAAGCGCCCUAGCACAAAAGUUCAAAUUCCAACCGGGCUGACUCAGUCCUUCCCCCUUCCAAAGUACAUAAAUCUAGUUCCAUGUAGUUUUACUGUGAAAGGGACUCUAAAAAGCAGGGGUCCUUCUCCCUGCUGUGGCAAAGCUGAGGAUUCCCUCUCCUAUAUUUUCAAUUGUUCCCUGGCAUUCUUCAUGGCUGAACUGACUGGCAGGCUUCAUGAUGGAUCCAGCAAUUAGGAGGUUUCUUGUUGAUAUUAAACAUGUUGCAUUUCAAGUCCAGUAUCAAGUUAUAGAAAUACAAAUGAUCUGGUGCAGUAAUUUACAGUUAGUGCAAUAUAGCUCCAAAAACUGGUGACAAAGAAAAUUCCCUACUGCAUUUUAAGAUGAAUAACCUAAAACAUUGUAGAACAGUGACACCAAAUCCAAAAUUAAGAAGUUAUUGUUUGUUUUCUUACAAAUACUUCCCUUACAAAGAAAUGUUCUAGAAUGCUAGCAAUAUGCAGGAUACACCAAAUUUGCAGACAAUUUACAGGCAGAAUUGUUUGGCCAAUGUCCAUGAUGCAGUCACUAAGGAUUUACUGCAACUGUUCUACCUUCAGUAGGAGGUGUGGGGAAAGUUAAUGAUCUUCAUUAACAUCAGUAAAAGCAAGGCAGCAUCACAACAAAAUGCAGAAAAUACACUGAUGUUACACAUUUUCAUUACUCUUUUUCCAUCAAAUAGGUUUUGCAGCUAUGAGCAGACACUGAACAGACCCAGAUCUCCCUAACUCCACUAAGGUUCUUUCCUACAGAAACUCAUUUCCAGCAUUUUUGCAUUGCCAGCAAAGAAAUAAGUGGAGAGACAAUAACUUCAGAGCUAGCUAAUAGAAGUGCAGAAAAGAUAAGUAUGUGCAUAAUUGAAGCAAUCCACAAGUGAGGAGAGAAAAAAGGAGUAUCUGGUGCAAGACAAACAGGUAGAAGUGUGUCUGAGAGAAGAGUUGAGAUUUUAUCCUGUGGUGAUAAAGAAAUGAGUCAUCAUCUAUCACUAUGAAUAAACUCUAACGUCAAAUCAUUUGAUGUGGUAACUUAAAACCACAUUCAGUUUUAGAUUCUUUUCUAAAGCUACAUCAAAGAACAGGAACUUCCAAUAAUUCUCAUUAAGCACCACAGAUUUACGCAGGCACUCCAGUUCUUUGGCUCUUGAAAAACAAUUUUCUCAGUGCUUCAGGACAGCUUUAUGAAAUACCUCAGGGAAAAUAUAAUUAUCUACUUGGGGAAAUUACACACACAGGGCAAAAUAACCCCCCAAACAUUACCUAGUAGGCCACAGCACAAAAGGCAAAAAAACAGCUUUAAGAGUCUUGUCAGAUGCUGCAAUCACAUACACCCUUUCAAUAGUUACAGUUAUUAAAGCAGCACAAAUAGUGACAACUGCACUUAAAAGUGUUCAGCAUUAUCAGAUCAUACUUUUAUUCAUUUAAAUGGUGCAUGAGCAUCAACAAUUACACACUCUAGUAAGUGUAGUGGCUUCUUCACAAUAUUGUGCCAGUUUCAAAGCUAAAAUGCUUCAGAGCAAGGUGCAAGAAAUUCCAAGGGAAAUCUGCUUCCAGAACGAAAAUAUAUACCUAUGCCUCUUCUUGUAGAUUGCAAGGGCUUUUUUAGCCCUAUCAGUAUAUAGUGGCCACCAUGCCACUUUCUACAUCUUCCAGACAAAAAUCAUCAUUCAAGGAGGAAUCCAAAGCAGAAUAAUUAUCAACAGAAAGCUACUGACAACUCCUUUGGAAACAUUAUAAAAUCCUAUCUUAAUGUUUCCAGAAAGCGAGUAGAUCCUCCAUAGUCGCAAAUUAUCUUAGAGCUAUCACAGGAAAGAUUACUUAGAGAUAAAUCCAAUCGUUCUGAAAAAAACUAUGACUGAAAAUGGCAAUGGUAAUUAUUGCAAACUUAACCAGAGUAAUAUAAUAUAUCCUAUGCAGCUUAAAAACAUCUUGGCAUAUCAAGUCUCAGUAAGGUUUAAAAGCAAGCUUUUCCCCAAAUUCCAGUUACUCAAAGGUUAAGAGAUAAAUCUUCCCACUCCCCCUCUUCCAAUUACCUCAAUUUCUGAAAAAGAUGAAAAAAUGUAUAGACAUAUUAACAUUAUAUCCUAUGACCUCAGUAGUGUGAUCUCCAAGUGGAUUCAGAGGAUAACUUGCAGAAAGAUGGCAUGACAACAUCGAAAGAGCACAUGCAGGUCACUCAUAAAAGCAAGAAAACAGUUACUUAAACAGGAAAAUAGUUACUUUAGGAAUGUUUCAAUUAAAGCAAUGUUUCAGAAAUUUAUUUUCUACAUUUCAGCAAUGUGAAACAAGAAAAACAUUCCCAGGUAAUUUUGUGACACUUCUUCACUGAUAAUGUUUUGCAACCUAAACCCAGGAGGAGGAACUUAAGGCUAGUUUGAACAAGAUGUAACGUAUGCAGACAGUAUCUCAGGAGAAUGCAGCACAUACUGACUCAUAAAAGCAACCCUUCCAGGUUAGAGGCAUCUUAGGUUUACAGAAGUGGGAUGCAGCUACCAUUUCUUGUCAAGCUGACAGUUUAGGCAUUCAAUAUCAAUAAAAUCUCUGAAGGAACUGGACUAAUACUAUGCUUCUACUGCAUGACCUUUUGGAAAUAAAUGCCUUGAAAUGGUAUAAUCACUUACAUGCUCAAAAAACCCUUUUCAUUUCAUCAGAAAAGAAUCUGGCCUGUUUCUCAGCAGAAGCUUGGUAUCUCUUAACAGUUAAUCCCAUAUGUAUUUCCAAGCUAAAGGGCCAAAGGAAGGCUGACUACUUCAAAGUUUGAUGUUAGGUCUAUCCUUUAAAAGCCAGCAUUUCAAGUGUUAAGAGUUUUACAGCAACACCAACUGAGCUCUGCUGUAAGAUAAGCACCUUUUCCUUGCUGAAUGCACCCAGACUUCAGGCUCAUUAACAAAGCACUGGACCACCCUCCCUCCAACUUUGCAGUUGGAGGGAUAAUUCAGAUAAUUAUCAUUCAGAUAAUUAAAAAUAAUGCUGAAGUUUGUUCAAUGGCCUAGAAGUUAUUUUCCAGGCUCUUCCCAAGCUGGAGCUAUAGUCCCCCACAAGACCAUUUCCUCACAUGCUCUAGAUCCAAUCAGAUGGGCAGUGUGCAGAUCCAGGGAAUAGGAAAAGCUAAUUGGACAGACUCCUUUGGUCUUAAGUAACCUCUGGUAUCCCAGUCAAGAAACACAGACAGACUUGCCUGUCCAGGAUAUCAAACCUAAACCUUUCUCUGUAGGGCAAACAGAAAAUUUCAAAGCAUUCAAAUCCUUCAAAGACCCAAAGGGAUGAUCAUCUAACUGAAGAAACCCACUUGUGUAUAAUCUACCAAAAAUAACCCACCUUUAGAAGAUAACAGAAGCUAAAGCACCAGUUUAAAUACAUACCCAGCAUUGUUCAGACAAGGAGCUUUUGAUAAACCCAGCUGAAACCAAAAUUGCUACAAAAUUCUUAGGUCAGUGGAGCUGAAGGGAGGGAACAAAACAGCAAGAGAAAGCCUUUGGGCACACAAGGUACUACUGCAUUUCUGAGGGGAUCCAAACCUUCUGCUAUGUAAAGACUGAGGCUGACGUACCCCAUCUGUGACCUGCUCAGCUCUGCAUGUUUGUCUAAAAUCCAGUUUUAGGUAUAACCACCUUAUCUGGAUUCUUCUUUUUGGCAAAUAGUCGUCUUUAAAUUGGCAUAAUAAUGUAUGUCUAAACCUGCCUUAUUAUGAGAGAAGUUUAAAAAUAUAGCUUAAAAUAACAGCUAUUUUCUACAAAUUUUAUUCUAUAUCAGAAGCAGAAAUUAUUUGCAGCAAGUAGUUUGGUUUUUUUCAGUAUUAAACAUUAACACUUAGCCAGCCAAAGAAAUCUCUCUUCAUCUACUUGUGGAGGGUGAGAAGGCAAGCCACAGAAAAAUAGAAUAAAAUGGUUAUUUCUUCAAUUUAUUUGCAGCAUGGUAACCUAAAGACUGGUGCAUAGAGUAUUAGAAGUCUUCAAGUUAUCUUUACACACCAAAAUCUUAGUGAGAAGUUACUUUUAUCUGUAUCCUGAAGUGGCUAAUCCUAAUUGAUUCAGGAAGAAACACUUAAAACUUAUUUAAAACAUUCACUUCAAAUUGCAAUAAUGUCAAAUACAAAGUACUUCAUAAGCCAAUUUUAUUUUCAAGUUUAAGUCAUAGGCUCUUUCGAAUGUAGUUUUAAGUUUUUCCCCACAAAAAAAUUAUUUUUAAAACCCAUGGUGAAUUAUACAUGGAAUCUUUAAUGUUAAGGGGUUCUGCUCAGCAAUACCCCUUCCCCUGGAUUUCAAACCUGUAUUUUCUUUAUUACAAACAAAUUAUUUUGUUUGUUAAAAGAUUUGUUUGUUAAAAGGUUUGUUAAAAGAUACUAAAUGAAAACCAACUUAUUUCACUUUAUGCAUUGUGUCAAUAUUUAACCUUUACCAUACUGUUCAGCAAUGCACACUAACGUGCCAUUAAAAUGUAUAAAAGGCAAAAGAGCAAAUGUUUAUCAAAUAAAAAAUGGGUAACAGAUCACACAGUGAAGGAUGCUAACAGAAGGAUCUACAGUAAAAUAUCUAUAGAAAGAUACUCAGUGCCACUACCUCUGCAGAGCCUGAACCACAUUCUGAAGACACUGAAUAAACUCAAAACUGGACUUCUUGCAUAGCUUCUUCAUCAGAAGGUUGUCACCAAAUAGUGCUAGAGAAAAGUACAGUGACUUGUCCAAAACAUUCAAGUAACAAACCAGAGGAGUUGUAACAAUGCAAACUCUGUUAACAGCCUUUUUCUUAUCACAUUGCACUCCACAUUUUACUCCUUUUUGGCACAAGUUUUUUGGGCUGGUGGUGGUGUCAAUUGUCUUGCUUUCAUUUCAGUUUCUAAAGCCAUUUAAAUACAACAAAGUAAAAAAGGAACAGCAAACAAGGUACCAUACUUUCAAAAGUGAAUUUUGCAUCUAUGUGGAAUCAGCAGACUACAAAAGUAUUUUGGAACAGGUGGGAGACUUGUGUUACUGGCAAGAACAAGACAAAUCAAGUGAAACAAAACUUAAAAGCAAGCUAACAACCGAGAUUGGCCUCAUUAAAGCAAAUCCUAUUAAGAGCCUUACCAACUUAAAGCUAGGCAAGGAAAGCAUCUUCUGCCAACAGCGUGACUGCUGUGACCCACAACUAGGAGCAUACCUCAUGCCAGUGUCCUGGCCCCCAACUUUUCUUCACUUGAUAAUGCUUAUUCUUGUCAGAAGAAAGAGAAGUCACAUGUAGUGAUACCUGAAAACUGCAUUUGCAGAAGGCUACACAUCUCAAAAACCAGGUGUAUACUAUGGGAACAAGUAAUUGCAACUCAUACUUCUUAGGAUGCAUACUGACAAGGAAAUACAACUUCUGGCUUUCAAAACUGGUUUCAUGGCAAAAAUUACUAGAGGAUUGUUUGGAAGCUGAACUACAAAAUUUGUCUAAGUAAUUGGAAAAUACCGUUCUUCCUGCAAAAUGCAUCUGUCAUUGCAAUUGAAAAAUGCUUUCUAAUGCACUGACAGUAACACUGACAUAAGACAAACAUUUUAUGUUGUGUGUCUUCCUUACAUAAUUUGACCUACUUUGACCAGAACUUCUAAUUGUGAAUCUAAAGUGAAUUUACUUACUAAUUUAAAUUUUGUCCUGCAUCACAGUGCCCUGCCAGCAACUGCUCUGUAUGAUUAUCUCUGAAAGAUACUGACUACUGCUUGAAGAGAGCAGAAAGCAAACAAAAACCCUUGGUGAAAGGGGGAAUCCCAACAUCAGACAAACUGUGUUUGUUUUAAUAACAUGAUUCUCUUCAUAAAACUACUUGCAUGGCAUUUUCCAAAUACACAAAUUGCAUAGGGUUGAGAAUUAUUUCAUCAGAAAACAAAGUGAAAGACUGAAUGUCUUUUCAUUUGAUAAAUAUGACAUUUAUCAGUCUUCUUUUAAAGUGGGAAAAAAAUCUCAAAAAAGACAAAAUCCGUUGCUGUGUUACUACAGCACAACUUCAGCAUUUCUUGAGGGAAAGAAUUUCUUGCACAAAGAGAAAUCUCUUUCUAAUUCUUAUAACAGUGAAUAAACUUGAGCUGUCUAUCAAGAGCUAAUCCUUCAGAAGUUUUGUUUUAUUAAUUUAGAACUAUACCAAAUCAAGGUAACAUAUUUUAAAUAACUGCUAAAUAAAACAAUUUAGAAAAGCCAGACUGGAGAUAGCAUCUGAAUUCUUAUGGUUCACCAAGACAAGAAAAGUGGACCUUCAUUGAAGUAUUCCACACCAUUUGCUAGAGACAGUCAUCCCUCUCUCUCCAGCCUACUGUGGGCAAUUACAUGCAACUUCUAAAAGCAAGCAGUUAAGCUUUACCAAGGAAAUUAUGAUUGUCACAAUGCAACAGAAUAUUAAGGCCAGUGAAUAAUAACUGAAUAGUUAUAAAUAACACAAAUGUUUACUAAGGCUUGCUUUUCCAAACAGAACCAGAACAAAAGCACAACAAUUCUGUAGUGUACCAAGUGUAUAUUUCAAUUUACUGUAAUGCAGUCUAACAACAAAUUUGGUCAUAAUUUACCAGAUAUACAUAAAUGAUUUAAGUAAGUAAAAGAAGAUUCA
rnacentral:lncRNA from 1 species